AGCAUAUCAUUAAGCGGAGGAAAAGAAACUAACAAGGAUUUCCUUAGUAGCGGCGAGCGAACAGGAAUUAGCCCAAAACCGAAUCCUGCAGAUUCAUCUGCUAGGAAAUGUGGUGUUUGGUUCAAUCCCUACGGCACAUUGGAGUUGUUCUAAGUCCACGUGAUUGUGGCAUCAAUCCCAAAGAGGGUGUAAGGCCCGUCUGAACAAUACAGUGUGUCCAAGGGUUGUUCCUAGAGUCGGGUUGUUUGGGAAUGCAGCCCAAAUCGGGUGGUAAACUCCAUCCAAGGCUAAAUACAACACGAGUCCGAUAGCGAACAAGUACCAUGAGGGAAAGUUGAAAAGAACUUUGAAGAGAGAGUUCAAUAGUGCGUGAAACCGCUCGGAGGUAAACAGGCAGAGCUGAAGAUAGUUUUGCGUAGUGAAGUUUUACUUAUGCUGUUCUUUGUUUAAUCGAUCCUUGGGGCGGUUAACAGGGAGCGUGUAUAUGAAUUGCUUUGUUGCGCUUGACUAACACCAUGACCAGUAGUUAAAGAGGCUUGCCGUCUGUGGAAGGUAGCUCUAAACUUGUUUGGAGUGUUACAGCAGCGGAUUGCAACGCCUUUUGAGUACUGUUGUGCAAUGUGCCAUUGAGGCGUCACAUGGUUUUUUUGUCGGGGUACGGGUGUUGCUAAUCCUUUAAAGAUUUCGCAAUAUCUGCACCUCUUCAGAUCAGUCCUCUGUGAUUCUCAUUGUAGUUGUGGUGAAACUGUAGGCAUCUGCCUGACCCGUCUUGAAACACGGACCAAGGAGUUUAGCACAUACGCGAGUCAUAGGGUUUUACGAAACCUGAAGGCGCAGUGAAAGUAAAGACUUGCCUUGUGUAAGUUAAGGUAGGAUCCUAGCUACAAUGCGUUUACGCAUGUGUUAGGCGCACUACCAGCUCGUCUCAUGCUUUUCAAGUGAGGCGAAGCAAGAGCGCAUGUGCUGAGACCCGAAAGAUGGUGAACUAUGCUUGUGUAGGUUGAAGCCAGAGGAAACUCUGGUGGAGGACCGUAGCGAUUCUGACGUGCAAAUCGAUCGUCAAACAUGAGUAUAGGGGCGAAAGACUAAUCGAACCAUCUAGUAGCUGGUUCCCUUCGAAGUUUCCCUCAGGAUAGCUGGUACUCGGGAAUCAAGCAGUUUUAUCCGGUAAAGCGAAUGAUUAGCAGUAUUGGGGAUGAAAUAUCCUCAACUGAUUCUCAAACUUUAAAUGGGUGAGAAGCUCUACUCUCUUAAAUAUGGAGUAGAGCAUUGAAUGUGAGUGCCAAGUGGGCCAUUUUUGGUAAGCAGAACUGGCGCUGUGGGAUGAACCAAACGUCUGGUUACGGAGCCAAACAUGACGCUCAUGAGAAACCACAAAAGGUGUUGGUUGAUUUUGACAGCAGGACGGUGGCCAUGGAAGUCGGAAUCCGCUAAGGAGUGUGUAACAACUCACCUGCCGAAUCAACCAGCCCUGAAAAUGGAUGGCGCUAGAGCGUUGGUCCUAUACCAGACCGUUACCACAAAUGCACGGUAUGUGGUAACGAGUAGAAGGGCGCUGUGGUAAGCAUUGAAGCUUCGGUCGUGAGACUGGGUGGAGCUGUCACGGGUGCAGAUCUUGGUGGUAGUAGCAAAUAUUCAAGUGUGAACCUUGAA
rnacentral:rRNA from 1 species